GCUUAACCGGAGAAGUGCAUCGGAAACUGGAUAACUUGAGUGCAGAAGAGGGUAGUGGAACUCCAUGUGUAGCGGUGGAAUGCGUAGAUAUAUGGAAGAACACCAGUGGCGAAGGCGGCUACCUGGUCUGCAACUGACGCUGAGACUCGAAAGCAUGGGUAGCGAACAGGAUUAGAUACCCUGGUAGUCCAUGCCGUAAACGAUGAGUGCUAGGUGUUGGAGGGUUUCCGCCCUUCAGUGCCGGAGCUAACGCAUUAAGCACUCCGCCUGGGGAGUACGACCGCAAGGUUGAAACUCAAAGGAAUUGACGGGGGCCCGCACAAGCGGUGGAGCAUGUGGUUUAAUUCGAAGCUACGCGAAGAACCUUACCAGGUCUUGACACCUUGCGCCAACCCUAGAGAUAGGGCGUUUCCUUCGGGAACGCAAUGACAGGUGGUGCAUGGUCGUCGUCAGCUCGUGUCGUGAGAUGUUGGGUUAAGUCCCGCAACGAGCGCAACCCUUGUUACUAGUUGCCAGCAUUAAGUUGGGCACUCUAGUGAGACUGCCGGUGACAAACCGGAGGAAGGUGGGGACGACGUCAGAUCAUCAUGCCCCUUAUGACCUGGGCUACACACGUGCUACAAUGGACGGUACAACG
rnacentral:rRNA from 1 species